CGGGAGUACAUCAGCGGCGAACGGGUGAGUAACACGUGGGUGACUUGCCCCGAAGAUGGGGAUAACCUCUGGAAACGGGGGCUAAUACCCAAUGUGCUCGGUGAUUCGGUUCAUCGAGUAAAGCUCCGGCGCUUCGGGAGAGGCCUGCGGCCCAUCAGCUAGUUGGUAGGGUAACGGCCUACCAAUGCAGAGACGGGUAGGGGGCGUGAGAGCGCGGACCCCCACACUGGCACUGAGAUACGGGCCAGACUCCUACGGGAGGCAGCAGUAAGGGAUAUUGCGCAAUGGACGAAAGUCAGACGCAGCGACGCCGCGUGGGCGAUGAAGGCCUUCGGGUUGUAAAGCCCUUUUAUGGGGGAAGAGAAAAAGGACGGUACCCCAGGAAUAAGUCCCGGCUAACUACGUGCCAGCAGCCGCGGUAAAACGUAGGGGACAAGCGUUAUCCGGAUUCACUGGGCGUAAAGAGCGUUGAGGCGGUUCCGUAAGUUGGGCGUGAAAGCUCCGGGCUUAACUCGGAGAUGUCGUUCAAUACUGCGGGGCUUGAGGACAGCAGAGGAAGGUGGAAUUCCCGGUGUAGUGGUGAAAUGCGUAGAUAUCGGGAGGAACACCCGUGGCGAAGGCGGCCUUCUGGGCUGUUCCUGACGCUGAAGGCGAAAGCUAGGGGAGCGAACGGGAUUAGAUACCCCGGUAGUCCUAACUGUAAACGAUGGAUGCUGGGUGUGGGGGGUGUAAAUUCCCUCUGUGCCGAAGCCAAACGCGUUAAGCAUCCCGCCUGGGGACUACGGCCGCAAGGCUAAAACUCAAACGAAUUGACGGGGGCCCGCACAAGCANNG
rnacentral:rRNA from 1 species